rnacentral:rRNA from 1 species
CUGGCGGCGUGCCUAAUACAUGCAAGUCGAACGCACUCUCGUUUAGAUUGAAGGAGCUUGCUCCUGAUUGAUAAACAUUUGAGUGAGUGGCGGACGGGUGAGUAACACGUGGGUAACCUGCCCUAAAGUGGGGGAUAACAUUUGGAAACAGAUGCUAAUACCGCAUAAAACCCAACACCGCAUGGUGUAGGGUUGAAAGAUGGUUUCGGCUAUCACUUUAGGAUGGACCCGCGGUGCAUUAGUUAGUUGGUGAGGUAAAGGCUCACCAAGACCGUGAUGCAUAGCCGACCUGAGAGGGUAAUCGGCCACACUGGGACUGAGACACGGCCCAGACUCCUACGGGAGGCAGCAGUAGGGAAUCUUCCACAAUGGACGAAAGUCUGAUGGAGCAACGCCGCGUGAGUGAAGAAGGUUUUCGGAUCGUAAAACUCUGUUGUUGGAGAAGAAUGUAUCUGAUAGUAACUGAUCAGGUAGUGACGGUAUCCAACCAGAAAGCCACGGCUAACUACGUG